rnacentral:rRNA from 1 species
UGAGGAAUAUUGGGCAAUGGGCGCAAGCCUGACCCAGCCAUGCCGCGUGAAGGAUGAAUGCCCUAUGGGUUGUAAACUUCUUUUGUAUAGGACGAAACUUUUGUACGUGUACAGAACUGACGGUACUAUACGAAUAAGCAUCGGCUAACUCCGUGCCAGCAGCCGCGGUAAUACGGAGGAUGCAAGCGUUAUCCGGAUUUAUUGGGUUUAAAGGGUGCGUAGGCGGGAUAUUAAGUCAGUGGUGAAAGCCUGCAGCUUAACUGCAGUACUGCCAUUGAUACUGAUAUUCUUGAGUACAUAUGAGGUGGGCGGAAUGUGUAAUGUAGCGGUGAAAUGCUUAGAUAUUACACAGAACACCGAUUGCGUAGGCAGCUCACUAAACUGUAACUGACGCUGAGGC